rnacentral:rRNA from 1 species
AUGACACCUGUGGUGAGCGCUUCACUUGGAGCGUCGGGUCCUCUGUUGGUGAAGCUCGGCACCUUGCUCUCCAAUGAGUGUGGCCGUCUGAAAGGGGUCCGCCAUGAGAUCCGCUCCCUCAAAUCUGAGCUUACUUGUAUGCAUGCUGCGCUUACUAAAUAUGCAAUGAUAGAAGAUCCAGAUGUCCAAGUGAAGGCAUGGAUAUCAUUGGUGAGGGAAUUGGCCUAUGAUACCGAGGAUGUCUUCGACAAGUUCAUCCACCAGCUUGGCAACAACCAAUACCAUGGCGGCUUCAAGGAGUUCUUCCGCAAGACCGCUCGCCAACUGAAAACACUUGUGUCUCGCCGCGGAAUUGCCAACCAAAUUGAUGACCUGAAGACUCGCAUCAAGAAAGUGCAAGAGCUCAAGGACAGCUACAAGUUCAAUGAUGCUCCCUCUAGCACCACUGGCCAUCUAGCUGUGGAUCCCCGGCUUCAAGCGGUCUUUGCUGAGAAGGCACACAUUGUGGGCCUGGAAGGUCCAAGAAAUGAUCUUGCCAACUGGAUGGUAGAAGAGGGAAACAACUCCAAAUGUUGCAAGGUGUUGUCUAUUGUUGGGUUUGGUGGAUUGGGAAAGACAACACUGGCGAAUGAGGUUUAUCGAAAGAUUCAAGCAGAUUUUCGGUGUACAGCUUUUGUAUCUGUCUCACAAAAGCCAGAUAUAAAGAAAAUUAUCAAGGAUGUGAUCUCUCAAGUGUCACGCGGACAUGGAUCCACAAAAGAUACCAGCGAUUGGGAUGCAAGCAAGUUCAUUGCAAAGCUAAGGGAACUACUACAAGAUAAAAGGUAUCUCGUCUUCAUUGAUGAUGUAUGGUCUACAGAUGCAUGGAACAUUAUCAAGUGUGCUCUCCCUGAGAAUAAUUGUUCUAGCAGAAUUAUAGCAACUACACGCAUCAUUGAUGUAGCAAAGGCAUGUUGUCUGAGUACUGAUGACCGCAUGUUUGAAAUGAAACCCCUAAGUGAUGUUAACUCGAGAAGUUUGUUUUUUAAAAAGAAUAUUUGGCUCUGA